rnacentral:lncRNA from 1 species
GAGACAUGAAUUUGUGGAUUUUUAAAUUGUUUCAUUGCUCUAGAUCACCCUUUCCUAUGCACCUGUCUCUCUCCUAGGGUGACCGUGGCCCAGUGGGACCCCCAGGCCCUCCAGGAGUCAAGGGGUCGAUGGGGCACCCUGGGACGCCAGGAGGAGUGGGUUUUCCUGGGAUCCCUGGACCAACAGGUCCAGCAGGAGCCCGUGGUGCGCCAGGGAUAAGAGGGAUGAAAGGCCGCAGGGGUGACAGAGGGCCUGAUGGACCAGUAGGCGAGCCGGGGUCACGAGGUGUCAAGGUG